GAUGAACGCUGGCGGCGUGCCUAAUACAUGCAAGUCGAGCGAACAGACGAGGAUCUUUCUCCUCUUACGUUUGCGGCUGACGGGUGAUUAACACGUGUAUAACCUACCUAUAAGUCUUGUAUCACUUCGUGAACCCUGAUCUAAUACCGGUUAAUAUAUUGAACCUCAUGGUUCUUUAGUUAUAUACGUUUUUGCUGUCUCUUAUAGAUGUUUCCGCGCCGCAUUAGCUAGUUGGUAAGGUAACGGCUUACCAAGGCUACGAUGCGUAUCCGACCUGAGAGGGUGAUCGGACACACGGGAACUGAGACACGGACCAGAAUACUACGGGAGGCAGCAGUAGGGAAUAUGGGGCAAUGGGCGAAAGCAUGACGGAGCAAGGCCGCGUGAGUGAAGAAGGUCUUCGGAUGGUAAAACACUGUAAUUAGGGAAGAAGAAAAGUGAAAGAAAAAAUGGAGGUAUUGACGGUAACAAAAGAGAAAGCAACGGCUAACUACGUG
rnacentral:rRNA from 1 species